AUGGGGUGGGGCCUGGGAAGACGGUUCUUCGAGGGCUGCAAGCUGACGGACGUUGGUGCCCGCGCGACUGCCGGGUCUGGCCGGACUCCGAGCUGCUUGGAUCUGCUCCACAGGGCUCCAGAGAGCCGUGAGAGGACCCCCGAGCAGAAGAGUGACCCGGUUGGCAGGGUGAUAGAAAGAAGAAGAAGAAGAAGAAGAAGAAGAAGAAGGAGAAGGAGAAGGAGAAGGAGAAGGAGAAGGAGAAGGAGAAGGAGAAGGAGAAGGAGAAGGAGAAGGAGAAGGAGAAGGAGAAGGAGAAGGGAUCUUCCAUCUGCUUGUUCACUACCCAAAUGACGGCCAACAGCCAGGACUGGAUCAGGUCUAAGCCAGGGACCAGAGCUCCAUCCAGGUCCCCCGUGUGGGGGGCAGGGACCCCAGUACUGGAGCCCACACUUACUGCCUCCCAGAGGCAUCAGCAGGAAGCAGGAAUCAGGAGCUGGAGUGAAGCAUCCAGCUCAGGUGCCCUGAUGUUGGCAUCUUCACUGUCAGGCUAAACACCCAUUUCCAAGACUUUGUAACCGUGACCUGGAUCCCAGACUCCCUAAAAGAAAAGCUUGAACAAACUCAUUCUUCCCUCUCACACACAGGCAGUUUCUUUAUGGGAGAAAAGAAACAACUUCAAAGCAAAGUCAAAGGAGAAUGAAAAUCUGACAAAAGGCUGUGUGCGACUCUUAUUACAGUCAGCUUGCUACGGACCUUCUAGGAGUUGACAAGGAAAAGAACACCCAACAAAAGCAAGCCAAAGAAAUACAGAUGUCUGUUGAACAUUUCAAAUGGUAUUCUCCUACUCAGAUUAAAAUUAAAACUAGGUGAGAAAGCAUUUUCACACUUAACAGAUUGGCAGAAAUCCAGCAGUUUGUUUGAUAAAACAACUUGUGAGCAAGGCUGUGGGGAAAUGAGCAAUCACGCCCAUGUGCUGUUGCUGCCUGUUCGUAUUGGCCCGAAUCCCACGGAGGACAAUUUGGUGACAUUUUGCCAACAGUACAAAUAAGACAUCCCCUUUGACAUAAUAAUUCCACGGUGAGGAAUUUACCCUGCAGAAGGGGCAGUGGAAUACGUACAAAAUGAGCAUCGGUGAGAUUGGAUAUUACUGCCGGAUUUACAGCAGUUAUAGGUCAGGAACAAUGCAGGUAUCCAUUAACAAAGAGCAGGUUAAAUACCUUAUAAUCCAAAAAUAAAUUGGGAUAAGACACAUCUAUACCCGGUUGC
rnacentral:lncRNA from 1 species